GCGGGAGUAGCUCAGUUGGUAGAGCGCGACUUUCCCAAAGUCGAGGUUUCGCGGGUUCGAGCCCCGUCUCCCGCU
rnacentral:tRNA from 2 species